GGUGAGAUGGCCGAGCGGUCUAAGGCGCCAGACUAAGGAUCAGGACAUUACGUGUCCAUCAUUUGUGUAUUACUAUGCAAUCUGGUCCUCCGGGGCGUGGGUUCGAAUCCCACUCUCAUCA